UGGGGAAUAUUGCACAAUGGGCGCAAGCCUGAUGCAGCCAUGCCGCGUGUGUGAAGAAGGCCUUCGGGUUGUAAAGCACUUUCAGCGAGGAGGAAGGGUAGUGUGUUAAUAGCACAUUGCAUUGACGUUACUCGCAGAAGAAGCACCGGCUAACUCCGUGCCAGCAGCCGCGGUAAUACGGAGGGUGCAAGCGUUAAUCGGAAUUACUGGGCGUAAAGCGCACGCAGGCGGUUUGUUAAGUCAGAUGUGAAAUCCCGCGCUUAACGUGGAACU
rnacentral:rRNA from 1 species